CAAACCUGUACAAAUGCUCAGAGAAUUUCAGCAAACCAAGAUAUUGAAAGAAUUGUGAAUAAUCAGCAGUAGUGUCAUGGAGUAUGUUGGGCUUCUACCACACCCACUUUAGAAAUAUGAAAACUGAUCUCCUAAGAAGGCAUUUUUGAAGGCACUCAGAUGCUCAAUGGCCGAAAUCAGAGUAGAAUGCAGGUCUGUUUGAAGCUCGAGCUUAGAUUUUUUUCCCCAAACCACUUCUACAGCCUGCUGACAGGAUAGCCUCAUCAAGGACAGCUCCUGGGUUCUCCAUGCAGAGCUUACAGUGUCACUUAAUGGAAGAGGCAGGCAGUUUUCCUGUCAGAUACCACAGAGAGUGAAUGCUUUGAAUAUAUUCCUUUGGAUAUACUGAGCAAUUUUCAACAGCAAUUAUUUAAAAUAUUUAUUAAAAAUUUUAGGAAAAAAUUUGUCUCCCCAAAAGUGUGUAGCCUUCAGAUUCCUGCUGGAAUCUACACCAUCAGCCUUCUGGCUCUCAAGACUUAACCUACAACCAGCCUUCCUGUUUCUCCAGCUUUCAAAUGGCAUAUCAUGGGACUUCUCAGCCUCCAUAAACAUGCG
ensembl:lncRNA